UAUCUAGCGCGAAAGGAGGUGAUCCGAUGUCUCAUGGUUCAGCAGAGAGGUCGGCAAGUUUCCGCGCGGAGCACUAUCGGUAAGACACAACCCUUAGAGGCUUCGUGAGCGGCACUUCCUGGCCGCUGACCAUGAAGGGGCGUUUCCACCGACGGGCUGGAAGCGCCCC
rnacentral:sRNA from 1 species